AUGCCGCGUGUGUGAAGAAGGCCCUCGGGUUGUAAAGCACUUUCAGCGAGGAAGAACGCCUAGUGGUUAAUACCCGUUAGGAAAGACAUCACUCGCAGAAGAAGCACCGGCUAACUCCGUGCCAGCAGCCGCGGUAAUACGGAGGGUGCAAGCGUUAAUCGGAAUUACUGGGCGUAAAGCGCGCGUAGGUGGCUUGAUAAGCCGGUUGUGAAAGCCCCGGGCUCAACCUGGGAACGGCAUCCGGAACUGUCAGGCUAGAGUGCAGGAGAGGAAGGUAGAAUUCCCGGUGUAGCGGUGAAAUGCGUAGAGAUCGGGAGGAAUACCAGUGGCGAAGGCGGCCUUCUGGACUGACACUGACACUGAGGUGCGAAAGCGUGGGUAGCAAACAGGAUUAGAUACCCUGGUAGUCCACGCCGUAAACGAUGUCGACCAGCCGUUGGGUGCCUAGAGCACUUUGUGGCGAAGUUAACGCGAUAAGUCGACCGCCUGGGGAGUACGGCCGCAAGGUUAAAACUCAAG
rnacentral:rRNA from 1 species